rnacentral:rRNA from 1 species
ACGUCUCAGUUCGGAUUGUAGUCUGCAACUCGACUACAUGAAGCUGGAAUCGCUAGUAAUCGCGAAUCAGAAUGUCGCGGUGAAUACGUUCCCGGGUCUUGUACACACCGCCCGUCACACCAUGGGAGUUGGCAACGCCCGAAGUCAGUGACCCAACCUUAACAGGGAGGGAGCUGCCGAAGGCGGGGCUGAUAACUGGGGUGAAGUCGUAACAAGGUAAC